UACGAAGGGGGCGAGCGUUGUUCGGAUUUACUGGGCGUAAAGGGCGCGCAGGCGGUUCUGUUUGUCGAGUGUGAAAGCCCCGGGCUCAACCUGGGAACUGCGCUCGAAACGGCGGAACUAGAGUUCGGGAGAGGAGAGUGGAAUUCCCAGUGUAGAGGUGAAAUUCGUAGAUAUUGGGAAGAACACCGGUGGCGAAGGCGGUCUGCUGGGGUGAGGCUGACGCUGAGGCGCGACAGCGUGGGGAGCAAACAGG
rnacentral:rRNA from 1 species